rnacentral:rRNA from 1 species
AGUGAACGCUGGCGGUAGGCCUAACACAUGCAAGUCGAACGGCAGCACAGGAGAGCUUGCUCUCUGGGUGGCGAGUGGCGGACGGGUGAGGAAUGCAUCGGAAUCUACUCUUUCGUGGGGGAUAACGUAGGGAAACUUACGCUAAUACCGCAUACGACCUACGGGUGAAAGCCGGGGACCUUCGGGCCUGGCGCGAAAGAAUGAGCCGAUGCCCGAUUAGCUAGUUGGCGGGGUAAGAGCCCACCAAGGCGACGAUCGGUAGCUGGUCUGAGAGGAUGAUCAGCCACACUGGAACUGAGACACGGUCCAGACUCCUACGGGAGGCAGCAGUGGGGAAUAUUGGACAAUGGGCGCAAGCCUGAUCCAGCCAUACCGCGUGGGUGAAGAAGGCCUUCGGGUUGUAAAGCCCUUUUGUUGGGAAAGAAAAGCAGUCGGUUAAUACCCGAUUGUUCUGACGGUACCCAAAGAAUAAGCACCGUACU